rnacentral:rRNA from 1 species
CCUACGGGAGGCAGCAGUGAGGAAUAUUGGUCAAUGGGCGGGAGCCUGAACCAGCCAAGUCGCGUGAGGGAAGACGGUCCUAUGGAUUGUAAACCUCUUUUGGCGGGGAGCAAUGCCGGGCACGCGUGCCCGGAGGGAGAGUACCCGCAGAAUAAGCAUCGGUUAACGCCGGGCCAGCAGCCGCGGUAAUACGGGGGAUGCGAGCGUUAUCCGGAUUUAUGGGGUUUAAAGGGUGCGUAGGCGGAUUUUUAGGUCGGCGGUAAAAUGUCCGGGCUCAACCCGGGCCGGCCGUUGAAACUGGGGAUCUUGAGUGGGCGAGAAGUAUGCGGAAUGCGUGGUGUAGCGGUGAAAUGCAUAGAUAUCACGCAGAACUCCGAUUGCGAAGGCAGCAUACCGGCGCCCGACUGACGCUGAGGCACGAAAGCGUGGGGAUCGAACAGGAUUAGAUACCCGAGUAGUC